GUAACGCGUGGGGAACCUGCCCUGUACAGGGGGAUAACACUUAGAAAUAGGUGCUAAUACCGCAUAAGCGCACAGUAUCGCAUGAUACAGUGUGAAAACUCCGGUAGUACAGGAUGGCCCCGCGUCUGAUUAGCUAGUUGGUGAGGUAACGGCCCACCAAGGCGACGAUCAGUAGCCGGCCUGAGAGGGUGAACGGCCACAUUGGGACUGAGACACGGCCCAAACUCCUACGGGAGGCAGCAGUGGGGAAUAUUGGACAAUGGGGGAAACCCUGAUCCAGCGACGCCGCGUGAGUGAAGAAGUAUUUCGGUAUGUAAAGCUCUAUCAGCAGGGAAGAAAGAAAUGACGGUACCUGACUAAGAAGCCCCGGCUAACUACGUG
rnacentral:rRNA from 1 species